UUUGGAUAAACCUUUUAGGAAACUUUUGGAGGACUAAAUGCUAAAAGGUAAUUAACUGAUGGAAUCGUUUGUGAUUCAAUCUGUGGCUAAAUUGACUACUCUAACUGUGUUUCUGCGCUCCAAUUUUUCCUUUAAGUUGAUAAGUACAUAAGCCAUUAACACUAUUUUAAUGAUAAAUUAAGGGGAAACUGACAAGGUAUCUGUAAGGGACUGGAGGAAAGAGAAUUCUAAUAAUAAUUUUCUUUUUACUGGCUUUGUCCCGACACAAUAAUUUAAUCGCCUCUCCAACUCAAACUUUGCUUAAAUUAAAACGGUUCUUGCAUUAAUUUGAUGUUUCUGAAACCAAAGGUCACUGCACCUAAAAAUGUCUUCAAUUUCAAAACUCUGUAGAAAAACAUCAUGCCCUGAACAAUAUGCUGCCUAAUCAAGCACAAAAGGAAUCAAAGAAUUCCCAAUUAGUGUAAUCUCACUUUCAUGCUUACAUAAUAAGUUUUACCCUUUCCUUGUACGGCAUACCUUGUCCCGUCACAGUGAAAGACUAUAAUAGCCAUAAGAAAGAAAAAGUGGAAAGGUACCUGCAAUUCAAAUUCCAAGCGAGGAAUCCAUUUUCUGCGAAGAAGGUAUUCAACUUCCUUUGCCAACUGUUCUGGAGAGAUCAGGGAGGUAAGACACAGUCUCAAACUUCUUCUUUCCAAGCGGAGGCCACACUUGCACUCAAUAGAAUUUUUUUUUCUAGGUCAAAAAUUUUCAGUUUAAUUUGCUUUGAUGCCUAUAAAGUUCCCUCUUCACAACAAGUAGUUGAAAACUCAAAGUUUUAUUAGCGCAGCAGUUGGUCUCGUGGCAUUUACUUGAGUUAGGAAAUAUUGGAUUUAAUUGCUAAUAGAAGCAAAGAAAUCGCUUCGUCCUUCGGUUGUUAUAUGACAUGUAAUCACUGCCAGGAAAACAAUUUCAAGCAACAGGUUAUUCCUUCGAAUUACCUGCAUGCACUGGACUCUUCCACCAUUGCUAGCUAUAGAGGUAAUGUCAUUGUUGAGUUUACGGGUCACUGGGAAGGCUGAGGUUGAUUUAAGCCUGUGAAAGGUGCAACCAUGCUGGCUUGAGCAGGGGUGGCACGGUUAACGGAGGCCACUGCCGCAGAUGAGACCAUGGAAGAUGCCAUGCCUCUUUCUUCCUUGGCUAGCUAGCUAUCGCAAAGUUUGUGUGAUCAGUUUAAGAGGUCUUUGCACAGCUGCUUGAUUCACUAUAUAUAGGCAAAGAAUCUUAAGUUUACUUCCCUAUUGCUUAUGUUAAAAUGUUGUGCAUCUGGCGGUCUAGAAUUCAUGCGGUAAAUAUUGGAAAUUUCUUGGUCCUUAGAUCAUGGAAGGGGUGACAUUACGGCUUGAUGGAAACAUAAUACAGAGGCUUUUGGAUUCCAAGCCUUAUCGUUAAGCACUCCACUGAUUGUGACACAUGGCAAACGCCCGUCAUCUUAUCUCAUCCGAGGAACCAGGGCUUGAAUUUGUGAUGGCCGUUUGUCUAUAUCUUUGUCAAGUCUUUUUUUGGCCAUUCAUUUCUUUUGUUGUUGGCAGCACAUCAUAUGUGGGGUGGUAGUUGGUACCUGCUGGCUGGAAGCGGAUGUUCUUGUGAUUAGUUUCACGAUUUGCAAAUUAUCUUACAGAAAUAUUUUCCGCAAAUGACUUUAAUCUACUAUUCUUCAUUCUGGUCCAUGGCAUUUGAGCUCGAAUUUCCAUUCCCAUCAAUUCAAGCUGGCGAUCAGAUGCUUAGUUAUUAUCUAAACAAGAUAAAGCAGUAAGCUCCAUUAAUUGGUGAAGCAGUAUUGCUAUUUGCAACAGCAGAUGGCGGAGUCUUUUAGAAUUUAAACAUGGAUGGGUGAUAUUAAAAUAAAGAGAAAGGCUGAAAAUAUCUAUUAUGAUUUUAUGCUAUAGAAACUAUGGCCAAUAAAUUUACUUAUCAUAUUUAUUAAUUCAAUUUAGGAAUUUUCUACAAACCUUUUGAACUGAACAUACCUUUUGAGUUGAUAUGUUUCCUCUUCAUGUCAAGGGCAACAUCCUGCCUCAGAUUGUAGUUCAGUGCAAACUGUAAUUUCAGAAUGUUUUUUCCAUAACCGGUAAGAUUUAUCAGAUUAGUCACCAAAUAAAAGAUGCAGUAGAAUUGCCUACCUAUACACUCUAAAUUAACCUUUUGUGACAUGAGCUGGACGAGCAAAAUGAGCUUGACCCUUUUAGUCUACAGUAUAGCUUCAUUCUGUUAAUUUGAUUAAUGUCUUUCACUCAGAUGGCUUUACAAAACGAAGCAUCGCCUGCUCAUUGCCAUCCUCUAAGAAAGCUUAUAAUUCCAAGGAAAUCUUUUGACAAAGGAAAGUUAGAAAAAGCUUGUAAUCAUAUGUCUUGAUGAUGGUGGAAAUUCUUUGUGUAAUCAUGAUUAUUUUUCUGCCUAUUCAAAUCAAUCGCAUUUCUUGCCACGUACUCAAGAGUCAAGGUCAUGAUUAGUCAGGGAUUUUCUUGUAAGCCAUCUUAUUUGCAAUUUCCCUUAAUGCUUGCGGUUUGAAGAUUUCUAUGAUGAUGCAAUAAGGUUCUUCUGAAAGAUGAGUGCCCCGGUUCAAAUUAGCAUCCCUUUAAGCCGGUAGAAAGUACAGAGUGUAAAGGAGGGGCCUUCCCUAGGUACGUCACUUCAGGUACCAUAUUCAUUUUUCUGUCCUUAUCUUAGUGCUUGUAACUUGAGCUUGAGAGAGGCAAAGAGAGAUAGAUUUGAACUCAAUCCAGAAAAAUGGAUACAUGUUUAAGAUAAAAGGACAUUAUCUCAUAUAAUUUACUCUUUUAUGUACAUUUGGCCCUUUAUCAUUCAGACUUCAAUAUUUCUGCGUGAAAACAGAGUUUAAAAAUGGAAAUCGUGGACUAGAUGCCACAAGGACCAAAGAAUCCACCAGACAACCCUGAAAGUGUAUUAAAUUUAGAAGCCUGGUGGCUUGUAGGCAAUGAAACAGAUGCAUCGUACUUGUCUCUUGUUGUCGAAUCCAAUGAUUCUGAUGAAUGCAUUGGGGUAAGCUUUCUUGGCCUCCUCGAGCUUCUUCAAGACUUGUGCUACAUCAGUUCAACCAAAAAUGGGCCGCUUCCACAUUGUCCAGUAGCGGCCAUCAUAGUACCCAGGGGAUCGGUGGUUCUCACGGUAAACAAAUCCGUGCUGCAACAAAUCAAAAUCACAUAGCUAAUUAGCCUUAGCUCAAACUAAAUAAAAUGUCUGGCAAUCAUGAGAUUGUACGUGAGAAGAAGCAUCAAAGUUCACCUCCAAUUCAAAUUCCGAGCAAGGAAUCCAAUGGCUGCGAAGAAGGCAAUCAACUUCCUUUCCCAACUGUCCUGAAGUGAGAUCAGGGAGGUAAGACAGUGUCUCAAACUUCUUUCCAAGCGGAGGCCAUAGCUGCACUCACCAGAAUACUAUGAAGAUUCAGAAACUUGCAAUUUCUAUUGAACAAUCUUAAUUGGCUAUUAAUAACUUUAUUAUGCGCUAUUCUUAUAAUCGAAGUCUCAUAUGUACCUGCAUACACUGGAUGCUGCCACCGUUGCUUGCAAGGGAGGUAAUGUCAUUGUUG
rnacentral:lncRNA from 1 species